rnacentral:rRNA from 1 species
GAGUUUGAUCCUGGCUCAGGAUGAACGCCGGCGGUGUGCCUAAUACAUGCAAGUCGUACGCACUGGCCCAACUGAUUGAUGGUGCUUGCACCUGAUCGACGAUGGAUCACCAGUGAGUGGCGGACGGGUGAGUAACACGUAGGUAACCUGCCCUGUACAGGGGGAUAACAAUCAGAAAUGAUUGCUAAUACCGCAUAAGACCACAGCACCGCAUGGUGCAGGGGUAAAAACUCCGGUGGUACAGGAUGGACCCGCGUCUGAUUAGCUGGUUGGUGAGGUAACGGCUCACCAAGGCGACGAUCAGUAGCCGGCUUGAGAGAGUGAACGGCCACAUUGGGACUGAGACACGGCCCAAAACUCCUACGGGAGGCAGCAGUGGGGAAUAUUGCACAAUGGGGGAAACCCUGAUGCAGCAACGCCGCGUGAGUGAAGAAGUAUUUCGGUAUGUAAAGCUCUAUCAGCAGGGAAGAAAGUGACGGUACCUGACUAAGAAGCCCGGCUAACUACG